rnacentral:lncRNA from 1 species
GUGCCGGAAUAAUACGGAAGAAAAUAUUCUUCUACCAUCUGGAAACCACAUCAUGAAUUCAGAAAUAAAUUAGCUUGGAAGAUAUUAGAAAUAAUGCAUUACUACUGAACAUUCAGGUGAGAUACAACCAUGGUGGAAGUGUUUGAAAGAAGAUAAGUGGCAAAGUUGGGCUGCCUCAGUUGGGUUCCUCUGUUUUUCUGUAAGAUGUAUUGAUAAAUAAAAUAUCAAGAUUGUGUAUAUAUAGAUUUGUUCAAUAAUUCUUUGUAAACAAGAAGAUAUUGAACAGAAAAUUUAUUUUGUAGUGUACCAACAUGUACCUGGGAGAUGUGGAAAAUAACUUGAUUUUGAAGACAACCAAAAGAGUUACAGAAACUGAUAACACAUUUUCAUCUAGAACUAGCAGAUUUGCUUCAGAUGAUGCAUUUUAUUAUCCAUUCUGGACACUUCAGGGAGCUAGGAAAGUAUGAUUUUGCUGAAAAAUGUGUAGGGAAACAAAAAAAUACAUUUCCAUAAAAGACAAAAAUGAAAAAAAGAAUGUCCUGCUCUGUGGAAUAACGUAUCUGUAUUUUACUGUCAUGCCUCUUUGCUUCCCAGAUGUUGUCAGAAAUUAGUUACCCUUAAAAAUAGAAAGUAGAAUCAAUAUUUUCAUUAACAGUAAGGCAGAGAUAAUUUCUUGUAAAUAGGUUUGCAUUUGAAUUGUUCUUUCUAAUGUCACUUUUUUUUUUUUUUUUUCUAAAUUCCAUAAGGAAACAAGAACACAAGAAGUACACAUUGUGUUUAUUUUUACACUGCUUGCAAGGGUUUGGUACUUGUUUCACUAAGACAAUUACAGCAUAUGGAACUGACUUCCAGCACUGCAAUCAGAACUUGGGAAAGGCCUAUAACCCCAUCUGAACAACAGUGUUACCCACAGUCUCUGCAAAGCAGAUUUCAACUUGGGAUGCACUCAAAAACCAACCCACCAAACAAACAAACAGGGAUUACUCAGGCAGCAGGCAGAGACUGUAAACAUUUUACAAGACUGGACUUUCAAUUUUCAUGAACAAAGGACAAGGAAUGACUGCAGCAAAGCUUACAACAUUGCACUUCUAUGAAACUGGUACAUUAAAUGAUCUUAAAGAAAACCAAGCAGAAGGAAUAUUUAUACUGUCAACAGGGAGCAAGAGAAAGCCUUUAAAUUGUGAUCUCACUGUAAUUUAAUAUUCAGUUUUGCUAAACCUUCAGUUUCCAUUAUCUUUGUCUCUGCAUCACUGUGCUCAGCAUAAGUUCGUAUGUCAUGUUUACUUAGUAACCUUGACUCAGUCAUACCCAAGGCUUCCGUCUACAUAAGAAACUCUAAAAUGGCUGAUUUUAAAUGUGACAUUUAUGUAAUGGAAAACAGUGGAGCUUCUUUAUAGUCUAGAAAGCUUUAUCAAAUUAAAGAAUUAAGAUUCAUUAAAGAAAUAGAUAUGAAGAAGACAAAGAUUGUGUCUUUAGACAAACUUUAAAAGGGAAAUCUAAUCAUCUUUGAACUUCAGAACAUCUGAUUCUGUUCAGAAGCUUAGAAGUACCAAUGCUGUAUUUAAUUUCUGAUGUUUCUGUCUGCUUUUUAUUUUAUUUUUGUCCAUUUAAAUGAUUUGCAUAAUUACAAUUAUUCUGAAACAGCCUAAUGUAGUGAUUUAAUGGUUAUAAAAUGUCAUGAAGUUGGAAUAAUGACAGAUUAGAAAAGUCAAAUUUAGUAUAUUCUUCAAAGGCUGAAUACACCUCAUUAUUUCUCAGUGUCUUUGCUCUUUGUUAUGGUGAAUCAAAUAAGGUUAUUCAUACAGCAAUCAAACCUCUUGACAACCAAUUUCUGUAUGUUUUUUCAGCAAAUUGAAAGAACUUUUAUUUACUUCAGAAAAAACAAAUAUUGGACUCAAUUUCAGUUUUAAUGGGGUUGACUAAAACAAAUAUAAAAUAAUUCAGGAAGUUACUGAAUUAAGUACUUGACAAAAUUAAAUAAGAUUAAUAAUCUGCUUUAGUUUUACAUUUAGCAUGCCUACUGGGACUACAUUACACAUAAAUUUAUUGGACAUUUAUUGUAUAUAAAGUAAGAUAUACAUGUAAAACAAAGUCAUUAAUAUCAUACAACAAAUACAAGUUCUCUUUUCAAGCAUUAAAUGUAGCUGCUUAUAGCUGCAGUAAAUGCAAAGGUAUUUGAGUGAAAAAACAGUGAGAUCUCAGGUUUGUUUGAAAUAUAUAUUAUUAUUCAUUUGCAUAGAUCAUAAUUAUAGUUUUGUGUUUACAUUUUAAUAAAUAUAGAUCCCACUAGGGUAAUAAAUCA